AUAUUGGACAAUGGGCGCAAGCCUGAUCCAGCCAUGCCGCGUGAGUGAAGAAGGCCUUCGGGUUGNAAAGCUCUUUCGGACGGAAANAAAUCGCGCAGGCUAAUAUCCUGCGCGGUUGACGGUACCGGCGUAAGAAGCACCGUCUAACUACGUGCCAGCAGCCGCGGUAAUCAGUAGGGUGCGAGCGUUAUUCGGAAUUACUGGGUGUAAAGCGUGCGCAGGCGGUUGAUUACGACAGCCGUGAAUACCUCGGGCUUACCCUGGGAACUGCGGGUGUUCCUGGUCGGCUCGCGUGCGGCAGAGGCGGGUGGAAUUCAACGUGUAGCAGUGAAAUGCGUAGAGAUGUGUAGGAACACCGAUGGCGAAGGCAGCCCCCUGGGCCGAUACUGACGCUCAUGCACGAUAGCGUGGGUAGCAAACAGG
rnacentral:rRNA from 1 species